UGUGCUCUUCCGAUCUCUAGAAACAAUGUUAAGGAUUUGGCUCCAAAAAUCCAUAUAUGGUUAACGAAAUAUAUGGUGUGCUAAGAGAAGUUAGAAAGGAGAAAAGUGAUAAUGUGAGAAACGAAACUGUUCCUGCUUAGGCAGAUGUGGCUAGAACACAUUCGAGUAAGCAAAUUCUGCAAAUUAAAACAUCUAAACUGAUAAUGCAAGCUAAAAUUGACAUACAGGAAAAAAGAAUAAAUAAUGGAAAAAGAACAGACAGUUAUAAUUAAGCCAAUCUGUAAUGAAGAGGAAGAAUUGAAUGAAGUCAUAAAAGCAAUUAAUACAGAAAUUAAAUCCAAUAUAAAGCCGACUAAUUUGGGACUACAAAUUAAUGGUUACUUCAUUAACAAGAGCAACCUAUAUAUAAAGGUAAUGAAUGACAAGUUAAUCAAAACAAUUGAAAGAGGCAAUUGAAAAAGGCUCUGAAAAGAGAGUGGAGAUUAAGAUAUCAGCAAAAAAACAGCCAAAAAUAAUUCUGUUUAAUGCACCUUGUGCGGUUAGAGAAGAUGAACUUUUAGAGCAUAUUUAUAAUCAGAACAUGAAUAUAAAUAAAGAGGACUUUAUGAAUGAAGUUAAAAUUGUUACUGCUUUUAAGACAAAUAAAACUAUUUG
rnacentral:lncRNA from 1 species